GGGCGGCGGGCGGCGGGCGGCGGGCGGCGGGCGCAGCGGCGAGGCCCCGGACGCCCGCAUCCAGCCCGCGAGCGACCGAGCGGACCUCCGCGCAGAGGCCGCGGCACGGCGCCCCCCCGGCCUCGAUCACACAGGGCACCAGGUGAGAAAAUGUGCUCAUGAACAAAUCGCCGACACCCAGCGUGCCCGCGUCCCACAGUGACCAGUUGCUCACGGAGACAUCGGCCAGUGCGCUGCAGGAGCAGCAGCAGCUCCCUCCCGGCUUAACCCGUGCUGCAUGGCCCCUCUGCGAAGCAACCCGGCCAAGGCCCAGCUCACCUGCAGGCUGGGCCAGGAAGCCUGGCUCCCUAGACGCAGGGCACGUGUUCAAGUCCUGGCCCCUUUACCUCAGGAUGUGACUAUGGCUGGAAAUAGGGUUUUAAGGAGGUGACUAAGUUAGGUGAGAUCACCAGUUGGGGUGGACCCUAAAGCAACCUGACCCGUGUCGUCAUAAGAAGAGGACCCUGGGACCCAGACGCACAGCUGCAGAGACCACGGAAGGACGCUGCAGGGGUUGUCAUUGCCAGGCCGAGGAGGAGGCCUCAGAAGAGAGCAACCCUGCUAACACCUUGGUGGCUUGCUCCAGGACUGUGAGAAAAUAAAUCUCAAUUGUUUAAGCCAGCCAGUGUGUGCCAGUUUGUUUUGGCAGCCCUGCCAGCGACCCUGGAAGGGUCUGACUGGGUUGUACAGGCUGACCCUGGGCUUCCGACUCUCCUGCCUCACCUCCAGAGUGACUGGGAUUACAGAGUCCUGUUGCGGCUGGGAUUUAGGUGCUUUUAACCUGAAAAUGGUGCAUAUCCUGUCAGCACUGCAGAAGAACUCGAGGACCUCUUGGCCUGGGCUCAAUCUGGAGUAUUUGGGAACUUGGAGAAUGGAGGAAUAUGCACGUAGAUGACUCCCAAGUUUCACCACUCUUCAAAUGAACACAAAUGACUUUGAAAUCAUCAUGACUUUCGAUUUGGGGAUUACACAUCAACUUUGAUGAGCAGGAAAAUUGCAUGGAGAAAAUCCACAAAUCGGAAGAGCAGAUGGUACAUCACGAUCAAGUGGACAGGUGUCCAGCACACAGGUAGUAGCGGGAUCCCGAUGGACACCCACUCGUCUCCUGCUCUGGUCGUGUAGAUUGUGUUGGAUUUUGUAACCAUUCCACAGGGUGCAGCAUGAAUUCUCCUACACCCUCCCCGCAUGGUUAGUGUGGUGAAGGAAACAGGUGAGUAGGGUUGGACCCUGCCCUCACACACUUGCAAUUGAACAGGGAAAGUGUGACCCACGUGACAGGGCCAUCUGGGCCAGAAAGCCAUCUGGCCAUCCCCAUCCCCAGAACCUUGGGAUGGGAAGUCCAGGUGAGGGUGGGUGCCUGGCUUUCCUGGGUCAGCUGCAUGCUGCUCAGAUGCCAGGAACAUGGAGGACAGCAGGGAGGGGCCUGUGAGGUCAUCACCACCCGUUAGGGACAGGGGGACAGGGGUGCAGCCUAGAGGGAGGACUGAUGGGGUCAUGCUCACCAGACGGACCUCACAGCCAGGUGUCCCCACCUGAGCUAGCCCUCACACUGAGAUCGCGGGUGGUGUAUUCCCACGCACUGUGUCUGUGUCUGGUGUCUCCAUACCCAGAGGGCCUUCUCCGUAUGCUCAUGGCAGAGCAGGGGGGAGGUUUGUGAGGUGCCGACUCUCCUGCUGUCUGGGUCACUGAACAAUUAGAAUUUUGUUGUCUGCACAGCUGAUACAGUCAGCUGCCUGCUCAAAUGAAUAGGACCUGGACAUCAACCGCUGCACGCGCAUUGACAGCCACCCUUGAUAUGUCACCUGUCGGACACAAGGUCUGUCUCUAGGGGACUCUGCUCUUAACUAGAGAUGAUGCCGUGUGUGCGUGAGCUGCAGAUCACAUUCAAGUCCUGCAUUCUCCAGGACUGGAUGGAUUUCCAGCCCCGCUCCUGCAUCCCCAGUGUUUGGAACCAUCUUUGAACCAGUAGGUCUGUCUUGAGAUCCUUUCCAGAAUCCCGUUGUACAUGUACACAAGUGUUGGCUGCCGUGGUAUUUGUGACCAAGAAAAGUCAGAAACAGCUUCAAUCCCACGUCUUAGGGGGAUGGUUAAAGAGCAGUGCAGCACAUGCAGAGAAUUCAUUCUUCAGCCACGUAGACAGGAGGAUGACAAUUAAAAUGGCAACAUUACAGGGAAAAGACACAGCAUGGAAAUUGUACACAUGGCUAGAUGAUAGAAAAAGAAAAGACAAAGAUGCCACCAAAGGGCAAAUAAAAGUGCCUGCAGAUCGGCAGCCAUGUCCUGCUUAGCUGCCCUCGCCAGUCAUCUGGGCUGGAUGUCAGUGAAUACUGUGGGGAAAAAGGGCAGCCAUCCCAUUUCUAUGAUUAGGCUCCGGAAACCCCUGGCUCUGAGCUGCCCUUCACCCCACUACAUGUGGCGGCAUCUUCAGCAUCUUCACCGCUGCAUGGAACGGUGUCUUUGUUACCGUGUGUCACAGCGUCUCCACUGUGACACGCACUGACUCCUGUGUGCUUGUUGUACUGAGCGGUCACAGGGGAAGGGAGAUCUGGAGAAGUACCAGGGUGCUAGGUACAGAAUGUUGCAGGUGGCAACAGCAGUGAAAGCUGGGGUCAAGCAGCAAGCGCUUCCUUGGGGCGCCUCUGCUGUCUGUGACGUUGUCCUCUCCUACUGGGGAGGAGCCCGUGUCAAAGAGUGGGCUACAGAGAGCUUUGCAGACAGCAGAGCUGUGCACCCAGAAUAGGUACCUAGAGCUGCUGUCUGGGACCCACCAGCCUUCCCCACAUAGAACUCCCUGGCUCUGACAGCUGGCGGAGGCUGGCCCUGAAGGAGCACUCCGAUUCCUUGCUGAUCGAGUCUGAUUCCUAAUGAUUUUAGCAGGUGGCCCUAUGGUCCAGGGCUUCCCCUGAGGAAGGCCUUUCCCUGGGAGGUGAGCCCAGUUUUGGGAUAAGCCAGCAGUGCAGCUGAUCGGGCUGCUUGGUGCUCACAGUGUAGUCAGCAGGAGGUGACCCGUCCUUAGUAUGUUGUGCUGCCUUCCGAAGGCAGCCUUGGAAAUGGGAGGGCAGCAGAAGAGCUUUGCUCUAUGUUCAUUCUUUUUUAUAUUUGGAAGAUAAUAGAGGACAUUCAGAAUUGCCACCAUCACAGCAUUUUACAAACUAGCAAUAUAAAGAAGGAAGAGUAACCACUGCUAGCUCGGAACUGGACUCACCCCUUCUUGAAAUAGUCCCCGUUCUCAGUUUAUGGGAACCCAGUGUUGAGGUGGUAAACGCCUCACAGGAUGAAAUCCCACUGUGGCUGAUUUGAGACCUCUAAAGGUUAAAACCUUAUUGGCAAUCUUCUUGAAUAUGUAACAGUCAGCUUUCUCAAGCCUGUACACGCUCACACAGUUUUUGGUUUCUUCUGCUUCUGCUUCCUCUACUACUACUACUUUUUUUUCUUCUCUUUCUCUUCCUUCCUUUUCCUCCUUCCUGUUCUUCCUCCUGUUCUCUUUCCUUCACCUCUUCUCCCUCUGGAGUUGGAAACCCAUUAUCAUAUUAGACAGCACACCAUUUCCAUUUCCUGUGUCACAUGAAGUCCUCUUGGCUCCUUUUUCUCAUGCAGUAGGGUUUCCAUGAAGAUGAACUGUGUUGUCUCUAAGCAUUCUGGAAGGGCAGGGUGGUCUGGUGGGGCAGGGAAGGGUGACAGCGACCCUUGUCAUUCAGGGCCUGACUCCUGCAGUGCUGUCCACAUCUGGCUUUUCUCUGCUCUGGUUAUGGCCUCUUCUAAACAUGCUCCUGGUGGCACAGUGAAGGCUGGGUGAUCUUUUCCUCCCUUCCCCUCCUGCUCAUUUCCAGAGUUCAGAAGAGAACCUCAUUCUCCUUGUGGCAAACUUUUCUUGGUGCACCCUCAUUCUUAAGCCCCUCAGGUGCCCCCUCCACCUGUCCUUAGAAACUGAGCUCCCUCCAAGCACACCUUAGCCAUUAUGGCAUGGAGUCCACCUACUUCCUGUCGAGAAGUAGAGAAGCUCUGGGGGCACAGUGGUGUCCACUCCUAGUCCCAAGUGUUAUUUGUAUGAAUGUGUUACUUUGCACACAGAAGGGUCUUUGCAAACGUCAUUAAGGUUACUGAUCAGUUGACUUUCAGUGAGGAGAUUGUGCUAAAUUAACCCAGUAGACGAAUUCUAAUCCCAGGGACCCUCUAAUGCAGAGAACUUUCUCUGAUUGGAUCAGAGGUGCAGAAGAGAAGAGUCAGAGAGAUCCUGAGUGUGCGGAGAGUUGAUGCAGUGCGGUUGGAUCUGCCAUGUGGAGCUCACAGGCAUGGACUGAUUUCUAAGGUGACCCUCAGCCAAGAGCCAGCAAAGAAGUAGGAUCUGCCUGCAGGGAACCCAGGUUGGCAAUAACACAAAUAGGCUUGAAGAGGGCCCUUCCGGAAGCCUCCAGGUCAGAGCCAGCUGACCCUUACCCUAAGUGCGGCUUUGAAGCCUGACUCAGAGACAGCAGAUACCCAGCUCACACCGAUGGCCAGAGCCGUGAUCUUGUGAGUGUGUGAUUUUAAACCGUGGAAUGAGUGUAACUUGUUACAGUGGCUGUAGAAAACAGACACAGGACCCUAGUGGCUGGGAACAGGUUCUGGGCCCCUCUCCUGGGGUCUUUGCUUGUUCCUGAGGAUCCUCACACAUCCAAGCACAGGUCCCACAGUGAACAGAUUCUCCCUUCCCCCUUCCCAUCUGCAGUCGACACUCAGUGGGUUUUACCCCUGCUCCCUGGACCUCAGUUCAGACCCCUGGGGUGUUUUAGCAGCUUCCUGUGGGUCUCCCAGCCCUGGGCCCCCUAUUUCCAGCUGCCCCCCACUAAUGCAGCUCUGCUCUCAGGACUCAUUCCUCCCCGACAGGCAUCCUGCGCUUUGCCUCUUCUCAGUGAAACAGGUAUAGGUCCAGCAGCCUAAAAUUCACAGCCUUUCGUAGGGAAGGGAGCAUGACAUCUCCGUCCUCACCUCCCAGGACUCUCUCUUGGGCAUUUGCAUUCUUGUUUUGUCCCCUGCAUUUUCUCAGCCCCAGGAUUCUUGGGAGUCCUGCAGGGAAGGAGUCCCCAACCCUGGGCCAUGGACUGGUACUGGUCCAUGGCGUGUUAGGAACCAGGCUGCGUAGCAGGAGGCAAGCAGCUGGAGAGGGAAGCUUCCCCUGUAUCUACAGCUGCUCCCGCCCCUUGCCUGAGCUCCGCCUCCCCCUCCUGUCAGAUCAGCAGGGCAUUAGGUUCUCCUAGGAGCUCAAACCCACCCUGAGCUGCACAUGCAAAGGGAUCUAGGUCGCGUGCUCCUUUGAAUUAUCCUGAAACACCCUGCCCCCACUUUGUGGAAAAAUUGUCUUCCACCAAACCAUCCCUGGUCCCAGAAAGUUUGGGGACCACUGCUGUAGGGCCCUGCCCGUGGGCCAUUGAGUCCCAGCAGGCUUCCAGGAAGCCGUAGAGCUGCCGCCCUUGAGAUGUGUGGUGCUGAAGCUCAGUGUCCCUGUCACACCCUAAGUGACCUGAGUAGGGCCUUCCACCAUCCCAGCUCGGUGUGUGCACAGUGCUUAGGAGUCCUGAGCAUACCUAUGCUCACACGCUGACUGGGGUACAUCCCACCGGAAGGAGAAAGGCAAGCUUAUCAUGUUAGGCACAGUGCCUGAAUCACUCAUUAAAUAGCUCUUAAAUGAGUAUUUCAUGAAUUCCUUUUGCUGUAUUUUGAAAUAGAUGCCCCAAGUACUGGAAAAGAUCCUCAGUAUUUUUAGCACACUUUUCCUGUUACAGUGUUUCUGGGUAUAGCGGCUGCUUAUGCUGAGUUUGAAGGUGGUCCAAACUUGGCAGGUGUGUUACUGUGUUUGACAGAGUAAGACUAUUGCAUUGCUGUCAGGAUAAUUGCUAACACAUAUCAAGCACCUGUGAUCUCCAUGAGUUAGGUCAGUUAACCCUUACAGCAGUGCUCUGACGCUGGAUUAUCCAUGUCUGAGUGUUAUGGAUGAGGAAUCCAGAGUGCAGAAAGGUGAAGUGAUCUACUCAAGGUUAUGCAGCUGGCUGAUAGCAGAGCUGAUUUCCUUCCCAGCCAGUCGCAGUUCCACUCCUUCUAUGGCUACCAUUUCGUCCUUUGAUCAGAGGCAGGAAAACCCCCCAUUCUCGAUCGAAAAUCAUCAUUAGCAUUAUUUCUACAGUUCAUCACUAAUCUGCAACACCUCACAUAUGCACCGGGCUUUGAAAGGCUUUGCUCUUUGUUCUCUUAGCAGAGGGCGGCGGGAGGCUGGUGGGUGGGGCAAGGGCGAUUCUGUGUCCUGCAUGUGUCCCGAGUAGAAGGACCACGUCCGGAGUCACAGCUGCACUGAGUCCCCGAUGCGGAGGACUGAGGCCCAUCUCAGGCGCGGAUGCCCCCAACCCUGCCCUCCAGGAACACAGCCCGCCCACCUGUGCCCUGGGCUGCUCCCACCCACGCCGGAGGGCUGGCCACGGAGCCCUCCUUGGAAGUGAGGCCUGGGCUGGGGACGAGGGCACAGCAUUUCCCUGCAAUCUUGAUCUUUGGCCUGUGGGUUUGUCCUUGGCGAGGGUCUGAGGGUCUGUCCUCAGUUGUGAUAAGAGGUCUCGUUUCUUUCUUCCCUCUGCUUUCCCCAAGCCAAGGAAACAUGGAAUCGGGAGGGGAAAAUGGCUCUCCCUGUUGCACCCAAGAACAGCCUGCUGGAGUCUGUGCUGAGGCUGCUGGUGGGAGGCCCGGCCUGUCCUCAGAGGCCACGUCUGCAGCGAGGUUCUGCAGACCGAGCCAGUGCACAGCCCGGGGCCUCCCGGCUGUCUGGGCCCUGGUGGCCCCACAGGCCUUCCCUGUCCCGAGUGCGCCUCCAGAACACACCGUGUCUUUGGCCCGGAACGGCCUCCCGCUGGGGAGCCUCGUGUCUCCCACUCCCUGUCUCGUCCACCUCCCAUCCUGUGUGACUUCAGUCAGGAUGCAGGGAAGUCCUUCCCUCAAGUGAAGACAGCCGUCCAGGUUUUCAGCCUGGGUGUUGACUUCCUCUCGAAUCCCCAGUGCUUGGACACAAGGUCAUGGACCGCACUAGAGGAGGUGAGAUGGGCUGUGCAUUAGACAGGGCUGACGUCAAGUUCAGGCUGGGCUCGGGCGGCUGGCUGUGUGGCCCUGGGCAAGCUCCUUCACCGUGAGGCUCCUUCGUCCCCGUUGGAAGCAGGAGGAAAUUGCCCCAGCAAGGCCUGAGGGACUAAAAGAAGGCAGAGGAGGGCCACCUUCCUAGAUGCCACCUCAUUAGAUGGUGGCCCGGCAGGGAGGGUUCAAGAAGCCAGAGUGAGGCGGUGGGAGGAGGAAACGAAGUGAUGUGACCAAGUUGUUUUGCACUGCAAAGGCACCAGUGCAAAUAGGCCACGAUCCCAGAUCCCAGAGCUCGGCCCUGAGUCCUGGGGCCGUGUGCAAGGUGAACCGGACUCCCGUCUUUGUGAGGUCAAGGCCAGUGGGCAGCACCCAUGAGGACAGGGGACCUGGCCAUGGGCUCAGAGUGCCGAAAGCAGCUGGAGUCCUCAGCUUAGUAAACACGGGGCGCCAUACUCUGGCUUCCCUGUGCCUUGUUUGUCACCUGAGGAAAGACCGUCAGCCUCUGCCUGGCUCUCAGGGUACUGUAGGGGUUAGAUGAGGUCGCGGGUGCACACAGCUACAGUAGUGCUUGGUGUGCAGAGUGUGCGGGGCAUUAGUUACUAUUGUCACUGACUGGCCCUCUCGGCCGGUUGUGUGUGCGUUUGUGGCUCUUUCCCCGUGGGAAUGCGAACACUUCGCAGCUUUGGCGUGAUGGCUUGUCUGGCUCCCUCCUCUGUUCUGGAACAAGAGCUCAGUGUGUUCUGAGAAACCUGCAGCAUCGCCCCAGGAGUUUAUCAACAGCAGGAACUCGGGGGCCUUCCCAGAGUCUCAGCGCCAGAUGCCAGUGCCGGGCCCUGUCUGUCUCGGCCCAGCAGCGCUGCGCAGCAUGUGGUGUUCACUACGUGCUGUGCGCCCUGUCUCCCCAGGGGAAGCAGGACAUUUGGGGCAGGAUGAGGGUGGAGUGGAUCAAUUAAGGUGGGGUCUUUGGCUGAACUUUACCCUGGGUUUAUGGAGCUUGGAAACACAAAAAAGGUUGCAUUCCUUUCUGUGGAACUGCUUAAUCCACACGCACUCUCCAGACAGGGCUGCUGCUUGGUGCCAGCGGCUUCUCCCAGCACUGCUUGCUUCCAUUCCAAAGUGGGGAAGGGAGAGCUUUAGAGGGCCAGGUGGGUACUUCCUGGGCCCUCGCACUUAGGCCAUUUGUACCUAAGAUGCAACAAAGAAUCCCCAGCCGGCUUGAAACUGUCUCAUGCUAGUGCUGGUGUUCAAGUGCUGCUUCUGUCGUGGCCAUGCCUAACAGCAGCCAGCCAGGGCUUGGUGCAGACUGGACAGUCUGAGCUCAGGCUAUAUGCCUAGCACACACAUGGCCUUGGGCUCAAUCCCCAGCACCACCCCCCCCCCCAACAAAAACAGAAAACCCGAGUUCAAGUCCUGACUCAGAUGCUUAGCUCUGUUGCUUUUCUUCAGUAACGUAACAUCGUGGGCCCUCCCCUCUUCCAUCGGUAAAGCCAUGUGGUGAGGUGACAGAAAUGGCCCAGUGCUUCACUCAUUCUUGUAACUUGCACAGUGCCCAGUCACGUGAUUCAUUAGACUGCGCUGUUAGCAGACACCUUUGCAGCCGAGCUUGGAAAGUGUUUUGUUUCUACUGUUGAACCUUUUCCAUCAGCAAGAAAGGGGUAUUUCUGGGACAGCCCUUGGGCUCCAGCAGAGGGGUGAUUGUAUGUACAAUGUAACCAGGGUGCUGUGUCUGAUCUUGGACAAGUACACAGUGAGUCACGCCCUGGACCCCUGAGUGAGCCCAGCAGAGUUCAUCUAAGCUGACCACUCGGUGAGUGACACCUGAUACUUAUGCCACUGAGGUUUUGUUACACAGCAUUGUUUUGGUGAUUGAUACAGCAGGAAUGUCACUUAUAACUCUUGGAUGGCUUGAAUUCUGUAAGAGCAGGAUGGUACCCUGUGGACUGCCCAGUCCUUCAAAUCCGUGUUGACUGAGUGAUCUAAUAAAGAGAAGUUUGUAACCCUCUGCGGUUCUGUCUGGCAUAACACCGGUUCCCUCUGCUUACAGCAUCUCUGAUUGGGGUCACUGCUGUUUCCCAUCCACUUGGUAUCCAGCAAAGGCAGACAGAAAGACAGAAAGACAGAGGAAAUUGGAGACUGAGUAGCUAGGCUCUGGUUUUAUGCACAAAGCGAAGGCUCAGUAAGUCUUACUUGCUCCCCUGAAUACUUUGGGUCCCGAGUCCCAUGGCAAGCCUGGUAAUUCCUCAAGGGAAAGCGACUUGGAGCACAGCACAGUGAGCUGGACAGAGAGUGGUGCCUGUGUCGGGUGCUCGGUCUGUAGCAGGCACUUCUUGUCCGUCCAUUCUUGUUUGAUUCUGCAGAGAGGAAUUGAUCUGGAGGUAGAAACUCCGCUCAGAGACAGGAAGCGAGCAAGCAGAUGCACACCGCUGGCAAGGUAGCUGACGAACUCUGGAGUCCAGGGCUGCUCUGCAGCCAAGAAUAGCUUCUUUAAGCCCUUCCCUGCAGGCGGGGACCCUGGCCAGCAUCCAGGCCACACUCUGUGCAAGCCAAGCAGGGAUCCUGCCUGGUGGAGGUGACUGGCCAGCUCAAACUGCACAGUUGUCGGCGUGGCCAGGUUGCUGGGCGCCUCCUUCAGUGCCGCUGGUGUGACUCGGACCUUGUGGGUGAGUGAGCCUCACCAAAGUGCCUGGAUCUGGUUUCCACGAGGGUCUGAAUGGCGUUGGCUCUCCAUCUGCAAGGGUGCGCUGUCCAUCCUGAGCCCUGGGUCCUCUCCGGCUGCCUUUCAGGGAUCCUGGCCGAGUCAGCAGGACCAUAGGGCCGGCUGGCGGCAGGGCAGUGUAUCCUGACCACCAUCCUGGGCUGAGGAGCGAAGCCCCAGUCCGGUCCCCUGUCCCUGGCCUGUCCUCCCCAGCCUGCCAGCUCCAAGGGCGGGAAUGGGGCCAGCGCCGGGAGCUUCUCGGGCUUCUGCUCCUGCUGGCACUGGCUGGGCAGGAGCUCUGCUUGGCUGGCUGCCCUGGGCACUUGCCACCCUUGUGUGUUUGCUUGGCCAUCGGGGUGAGGAAGCAGGAUGCUUUCCAUUGGACCCUGGGCGUUCCGGGCUUCAGGGGCCAGCGGCCAGCCAGGGCGGGAUCUGCCAUCCGUGCCUCCGUCUGUCCUCUUUGUCCCUCUCCCUCUCCUACCUGGCAGGCAGUUCAUAAUCCCGCCACCACCUGAUGCCGCGGGGGAGCAGGGGGAGGCCCACUGCUGUGCAGAGCAGGAACACUGGUGAGGGCCGCCCGAGAGCCUGCCUCAGGCACCUCCAGCCUCGGAGGGAGAGGGACUGUGGCACCCCGGCACCCUUCUCCCACGCCCAGCUGCACCAUUCCCAGACCAUCUGGGCCUCGUCCACAGCGUUUGUUUGAGUGGUGGUGAGACCUCUGGCACCACUCUGCCUGUCUUUGGUUAGAGCAGACAUAGGGAUGAUUUACAAUCACCCAGGAUCUCAGCAUGACUUCCUGUUAGGGUCAGGGAGAGACGCACUCCUGGGCCGUGCUACCUUGCUGAGACAGAGGCUGGCCAUGGAGAGAGCCACUGGUGCCCUGUGAGUGGCAUAUUCCCAGGAGCCCCAUGUUCUGGGUGGGGUAACUGAGGCCAGGAGCACUGGAGCCCUACACAGGGCCUUCCCGGUAGGGUAGGCAGAGAGCACACGGAAGGAAGCCGGGCUCCCCUCCCCCUCCCAAAGCAGCUUGCGUUCCCGCUGUCUGGCGCGGCGGGCAUUGUAGUACGCCUGGGCUUUGCUGAGGGUGCCUGCCCUCAGAGGGAACCUGGGGUGCCAGGGCUGUGGACACGGAGAGAAAGGCCUUUCUGGUCCUUGGCUCGGCUCGGCUCCUACGUUUUUCAGACAGGAAGGUCCCCAGGGCCAUGAUCGCCCCGCCCCACAGAGGACAGCAGAGCUGGGAGGUGAACGGGACACUGCCAUGCCUCUGGUUCACUGAGUGCCGAGGAGUGCAGGGACCGGGCUGAUCCAAGGCCUGCUCAACAGGGACAGAAGGGCCCGGCUGUGAAGGGCCUGGGCUGGCCUGGACAGGGCGCCUGGAGCUGCGGCUGGGCUGUUCCCUUCUCAGCCUCCCCUUCCCACAGGGAUGUGCUCAGCUUUCUCCCAGCCCCGCAGCCCACAGCCUCUGUCCCCACGAGGAGACCUCAUGCGGAACGCACUCUGAGGAGAGCCUGGACGGGCGGAGGGAAGGACCUGCCCUGAGUGCCUCCUCACUGUGCUGUCUGAAGCCGUGGGACCCACCAGCCGCCUGCCUCAGGGCCUCUCUGUAAGUAGGGAUGCCAGAGUACCCAGUUCCGGCCCUGCAGAGGGCAGCGUGGAAGCCUCCUCGAUGCCCACUGCGGAUGUGGUUGCUUGGUGGGGAGUCUGCACCCCGGGAUGCUCAGGAGCCAGCUGACCCCGCGCCCUGCUGGUGUGGUCCCCUGUCCCACUGCCUGUCUGCCUCUGUUCCCCAGCUACAGAGCCAGGGGAGGAAGGGAAUCUUCCUAUAAAAUUUGAGAAACUCAGAUAUGCAGAAGAAAACUGAAAGUACUUGUUAUUCGCCUGAUAGGUACAGCCAGGAGCACACAGGUGCACACAAAAUGUCCAGGCAUCCUAGAGUAGCCAGUGUCUAAGCUACAUAUAUUUGGUAUGUUUAUUACCAUUCAUAUACAUCUUAUCCACACAUAUAUAAUGCCUGUUGUAUACAUUUCAUUUCCUGUUGGACAUUCCUUAUACAGGAUGUGAAAAAUAAUAAAGAAUAGGCGCCAGUGGUCAUAGUAACCAGUUUUCACCACUUAACCUGAGGUGGACUUUUCUCCUCUUAGGAGAUUUUUCUGCAGGGAGCAUUUGCGGCACCCGGCAUAUCACCAUAUGGAUACACCGCACCCACCUUACAGAGGAGGGGUGGAAGCUCUGAGAAGCGACACACCUGGCCUCCCCAGAUCACCCAGCUCUCGGGGCACAGCUGACACCCAGGCCUUCUCCGUGGAGGUUUCUGUGGUUCCAGGGACAGAUUCAGCAGGAAUCUAAAUCCUGUGAGAACAGGGCCCUGGGUUCCCCCAUCACCGGCAUCUCCCUGCACCUGUCACCUGUCACCAGGCAGGUUUCCUGUUAGUUACUGAGUCAACGAAAGCAGGGACUUAAAUCCCUUUCCUUUCCUGCUCAAAGCCCCUCACUGUUCGGCGUGCCUUCCCGUGUGGACCCCUUGCUAGCCUGUGUACCUCGCAAGCCUGGGACCGUGUCCGACGACCUUUCAGUCUGAGGCCCCAAUCCCAGCCUGCCCUGCAGCAGGUGCUCCCUGAACGACAGUGGAAUAUGGAAGCAGCAGUCCAUUCUGAGCUUUGGGCCAUGCUUUCCCCACACAGUCUUUCCGACCUCUUUUGUCACACAGAGGUUAAGUUACCUGGACUCACCACGUUGGCAGCAGUCUGCCUACUACCGUUGGUCCAGGAGGAGUUGGAUGUCUGCCCCUGCCAGUCACCUGGAGCUGGCACACCUGGGUUGUUCCGGGGCAGAUCCGAUGGCCCAGGGUUAAGUAGCACCUGGAAUGGUUAUGUGGCCAGGCACCUCCCCCGUGAGUCUCCCGAGUGGCUUGGCGGGUGGCUGGCAAGGGAGGGACCCUUGGCACCGCUGCCCCUUUGUAUCAGCUGCCAGCAGGGCCUUUGAUGUACACAGAGGCCACCUGCCAGCCAAGUGCACUGUGGGACACGGGCACUGGGAGGAGGGGAACUACCCAGGACCCGCCAGAGGGCUCCUCAGCCGCCACUACCAUCUGGUACAGCAGUGGGAUGGCUCGGGAGCAUUUCCCCAUCUUGCAAGGAUGGAGAUGCUGCACAGAACCCCAGUAUUGUGGAUGAGGUAUUAACCUCAAAGCAAGGUGGGGCCUCUCACUGUUCGAGCUUCCUUCCUUACAUGUUAGACUGACACAAGCAGACCAAACUCCAUAGUCCGUCUGAUGUCCUUGUGGGCAUUGAAUGCAUUAAUAUAUUUAAGGCGCCCAUAGUGUGUGUGUGAAUCCAGUAAUAGCAGCACCUAAUACUUACGGAGCACUUAAACACUGCAUUAAUUGCUUCAAUCUUCAUAACUAGGUAGUACUAUUGUCCGCACUUUAUAGAUGAGAAACUAGAGCUCAGAAAUGUGGAGUAACUGCUGCAGGAUCACACAGCCCAACCAAAGCCAGUCCAGAGUUCAGUCCCCAUGGUCUGGUCGGAGACACUGCCUUGCUGUGCGUUGCCCCCGUGACUCAGAUGGUACGCUUCGCUUCUCUGCUUAUCAUGACGGUAAAGACGGCCACCACGAUGGCAGAUGACCACGACGGUGGUGGUGGUCACGGCCCGCUUGUGUCGCAGUUAUUUCUUGUUGGGAUUUUGAAUUCAUUGCAGUUGAUCCUCAGAGCGGGCCGGGAAAGUGAGUAAGUUUAAGGUGGGAGGAGAUCGGGCUUUAAGAGGGGACCAGAGACCUAUUGAGCCACACUGUUGAGUGCAAGGCCAGGGUUGGGGAGGCAUGGGUGGGUGCAGAGGCCACAGGCCACCGGCUGUGUGUUGACACCAGGCUGCUGGGCCCCUGAGGCCGCAGCAUGGGGAGGAUGGGCGGUCACCCCCAAUCCUGCUGUCCUAUAGAAGUUGGGCUGGUCCCUAAGGACUGGAGCCGGAGGGCGUGUCUAGACCCCUGCAGACCCUGUCAUGAAGCUGGUGAGACCCAGCCACUGUCUACUGCGUGUGACACUCAUUGCCCUCCCCGGAGCCCUGGGAUGCUCAUAUUGCUCUCCUGCAGACAUUCGGAUCUGUUGGAUCUGUUACUUACUGCCACAGCAAGGCCGAGUAACAGACAGCAGAACCCAGCUGGCUUUCAGUAGCAGGCAUUUAUGUUCACCCUCUCGGGGUGGUUGGCCGAGUGGUCCUGCCAGUCCCGCCAUGGGGCUGGGCUGCAUGCUGGCCAGUCAGAUUCCGCUGGAGUGACUGGGGUGUUUCUGCUCCCCCAUGACUUCCAUCUCUUUUCAGGUCCUGCAUUCUAGCCAGGGAAUAUCCUUUCAUGAGAGCAGAGCCCAAGAACUUAAUCACUCCUCACAGGGCAAGGCCUCUCCAUGCUUCUGCUGGACUCGCCUUUGCUGACCUGCUUAUUGGCAAAGGCAGAUCGCAGAGCCCAGCUCGAUGUCAGCAUAGGAGGACUCCACAGAGGACACGGUAGAGGGCAAAGAUGCAGGGGCAGGAGAAGUAUUGGGACCUUGUUUGCAGUGGAUCGCAGAUGAAGGCAUCUGAGGUGGCCCUGGGACUUGUCUGAGCUUUGCUGUCACCUUGACUUCAGAGUGACUGCCUCACUCAAGAGAAGAAGGGCACGAACAGGCCCUCAGCAGAGACUGCCUGCCUGGCAGUUCACCUAAAGAGAUGACAGUCCAAUUCCCUUGCCCAUGAGCACAGGGCUUUUCCAAGGUUGCCCGACUGAGACUUGGCUCUGCCAGCGUCAGUGUCACCCGCCUGUUCCCAGUGUCCCCAACUGUGAGAGACAGCCCCACCUGUGCCCAGGUCAUGGCAAGGCGUGGCCGUUCUGCUACCCAGUGCUGCUUGGGUGCUGGAGCCUGCCAGGAGCAGAAGCUGGAGAAGAGAAAACGUGACAUCUUCUUACAGCCUUGGUAGAGCCAUUGAUUUCCCAAAAGCAUCUUCCCCCGGGUGGCCACCUGGAUGCUGGGACACAGUGGAGACUUCUUUGGGAAACACUGAGUCUUUAGAGAAAUUUUCUCAGUUAGCAGCCUCGUAGAGAAUUGAAGCCUUUGAGCCACAGGUUAGCUGGGGCUGCCCCAGUGAAGAUACAUUUCCAGCCUUGAGGAUGAAAACUUUAGUUGGAGCUCUGAUUUUGGAACUAACCUCUGAGUAAGCCCUUUGACUUAUGUAGUGGAGCUGUCUCUCCUUUUCCCUUACUUCACCCACGUCACAGCCCUAAGGAGAAUAAAUGCUGAAUUAAGUCUCUGACCCAUAGCAUCGUGGUGACUCCCUUAAGAACAGGGCUCCAUUGCCUGCAGACGCUAUGUGUCUCUUGCUUGCUUUCCCAUACCAAGAAGUCAAGUCUGAGGUUGGCUUCUGGCUGGGCAUCUGAUUUGUCAGCUUACCUCCUCAGCCUUGCUGAGUGGGAGCUUAAAGGUAGCAUCUCACACAUCUUUUAUCCUGACCUCUGGCCUUAUUGAAGUGCAGAGCCUUGAAUAGUAUAUUAGUCAGGUUCACUGUCAUUGGAACACAGUGUCUGAUAGAAUUUAAAGGAGAGGAGACUUAAUUUUAUGGUUUAUGGUUUAUGGUUUCAGGCAUUCAGUCCAUGGAUGGCUGGCUCCAAGGCAGAAACUUCAUGGUGGAAAUCCAGGCAGAACAAAGGUGCUUAGUUCCUGGCAACCAGAAAGAAAAGCAGGGAACAGUACCUGAAAAGAAGGUACAAGGGACCAGACAUAGUCCCUAAGGGCAUGUCUCCAUGAAGCACCCAGACAUAUACAGAAGUGUGGUCCACCAAACCCCCAUGUAGAUCCUAAAUCCCAAUAAGCUGACACUCCACCCUAACCUCCACAAAUGGAGAGAGGUAUGAGAUACGAGAUGUCUUCUUCCUCUUCUUCCUCCUCCUCCCCCCUCUCUUCCUCCUUCCCUUCUUUCUCCACUGUAUACUUUUUCUUUGGGAAAUAUAAACCUAGUUACUUAUUUUAUCAGGUGUAGAAAGAGAAUGCCUUUCCCUCUGCAAACACUAGCAUUCCCUUCCUCUAGAAAACUACUACUAAUCCUCGAGGACCUGAUGGAAUAAUUCCUUUUGCCAGGGGACUUUCCUCUUAGCUCCAUCCCCUGUAGGGUGGAGGUGCCCAUGGUUUAUUUUGGAAUAUCACAUCACCAGGGUUUUGUUCUUGUCCAGGUAGCCUUUAUUCUAUGUUCUGGCUUGUCUCAGUGUGGUGGUAGGGAGGUCCCCGAAGCCCUCUGGGGGCAGUGAUGUGACUUCUUUAUUUCUGACCCCUGUGCUUACAACAGUGCUGAGUACAACAGGAAUGUCACACUUGUGUGUACAAGAUGGACAAACACAUGUGUAAGUAGUGACAGCUUUGGUCCAGCAAAGAUCUCGGGCUCCAGGCUGCUCAGCUGUGGCUUGGGACGUGGAAUGCCAACAGGUCACAUAGACAAGGCCCCGCAUGCUUGGCAAAUGUGUGGGAAGCUGGAAAUGGUCCAGCCUUAAACUUUGACAGUCUCAGGUUUGAUCCCUUUCCCUGCCAGUGAGGUUGAAUAAUUCACUUUACUCCUGCCCCAUGCCUCAGUUUCACCAUCUGUAAAACAAAUAGAAAUGUUUGCUUUACUGGAUUUGUUGCUCUUCAAGUGAGAAGACUUGGUUAUGAAGCAAUCACUCCCUUUUACUUUCUGUGUGACUUUGUGUCACUUCCCAACUUCUCCUAUCUUAGUUCCUUCAGCUGGAUCAUGUGAUCACAGUGCCUGUCCUCCUGUAUUUCCACAGCUAAAGAAAUAGUGAGUGAAUGGUGGAUGGAAAAACACGCUGUAAAAUUCUCUGAGCUGGCCACUGUGUACCUCUCUACAAGAGGCCUGCAACCCUCUGGUUCUCGGGAGAGCACUCCAGCACCCCAUCCCUGCUGAGGGGAGCAAAGAGGGGAGGAGGCACACCGUGCAGUCAGGGUUUCCCGUGUGCCAUCUGACCAGUCCCUGCAGCAGUGUGCCAGGAGGCGAUGGUUCGUACAUAGUGCUGCAUGGUGCUCACCUGUCUCCUGAGUGACUGCUUGUUGGGGAGCUGGCCCAUGUAUGCAACAUGUAUUGAUCACUUUUGAUCCCUUUCCUUCCUUUCUCUCACCUCCCCCGUCCAGUCCCCACCCCCAUCCCCUGAGUCGGCCUUCUUGUUUCCUAUCAUCUGUCCUUUGUCUUACUCACUUAUUUACUUAUGUUUUAGGUUUCUCAUGUAAGAGAAACCAUGUAACAUUGAACCUCCUGUGUCAGGCUUAUUUCACUUAAUGUUACGGUCUCAAGUUCAUCCACUUUCCUGUGAAAUCCCUCUUACUUGUUCUCCCUUCUUGUGAAGAAGCUUUCAAUGAAACUUCACCUGUUAAGUGUUUAUUUUCUCACUUUGUUACCCAAACGUAUCUGCCAGUUGGAGUUUCUGAAUUGGGCUUCCAGGCUGAAUUGAUGAAAUUCUGGCAAGUGUCAAGCAAAGAAGCUUGAUCUUUUGUUCUGUUUAAAUUUUUAUUAGUGCAUAUGAAUUACAUAGAAUACCAAGUGGAUUUUAUGUUGGCAUAUUGGUACACACAUGUAACGUGCUUUGAUAAUUUUCACCCUCUCAUUAUCACCUCCCCUCCUCUCUCCCCUGUUCUCCUCAUCUCUGAUGGUCUUCAAGAAGCUUGAUAUUUUAGGUGACAAUUGUGGCCUUAUUGGAAAGCAAGGUUCAAUUUCUGGUAGAUUCCUUGACCGAGCCCGAGAAGACCCCCGAGGGGAGUCCUGAGAUGCACUGGAUAACUGGCUUAAACUUUCAUCUUGUGCUUUGAAAUCAAGGAUUUGGAUGACGUGUUCAUGAAGGUUCUUUGAGCUCCAGACCUCUUCUCGCCACUUCCCCCACUCAGCCACAAGCAGCAUUUCUGGUCAGCUCGUGUUAUGUAGCAUUUGCCCUGUGCCUGGCUCGCGCCUGGCUCUUCCCUGGUAAGAGGGUGUUUCCCAGACAGCUGCCUGUCCACUGCAGCCACUUGGGGGAGGCUGAGAAAUAGGGCAUAAUUUCCAGCAAGAUUAAAUGCUAAGAGGGAAGUGGGGCAUCCUAACGGGCUCUGGUGCUCUGUGGAUCAUUACGAGAAUGCUGUAAAUAAUCAGGUCGCCUUUUCCCAGCCCUGCCCACUUGGACCCUUUUAGGGUCAUUCCAUCCAUCCGUGGAUAGGGCUUGCUUCCCGCUAGCCACCUCCUUGGGGACAGAUCCAUUAGCACCCUGCUCGUAAUGGUAGGCUGCCGUGUCCUGCCGUGGAAGGUUUUCUGAGAAGGUGCAGGCUGUCUCGUUAGGCCCGGUGAGAGUGGCCCUUCUGAAACCUUGUGCCCUCAAUAGCUGGGCUGGUCCUGGGCAGCCAAGCUAAUGCUCCUUGGUAGGAAGGGUGGCGGACCCCUCCCUCCUCCAGUGUCUUCAACCUGGGCCUCCGAGCACAGAGGGACCUGCUGAUCCUCAGACCCUGCGGAGAGGAGCGAGGGGCAGGCCACUGUGGAGGGAGGGGCCCUGCUCUGCACCCAGUGCCCUCCUCUGGGCGGCCAGCAGCCCUUCUUUCUCCUGGCCACCGCAGGCCUCCUUGCCUUUGUUCCUGGAUUCCUCUAGCCGUUGAUGUGUGAAAUUGGAGCCACCUGGCAGCCCAGUUGGUAGAGGAUGCCGGGCACCUGCUCAGGUUCCUGCUUCCUCUUUCUCUCUUCCUUCAUCUUCCUCCCUCCUUUCCUCACCUGGCUGCCACCUAAGUCUUCUCCUCCUUAGUCCAAUUCAGAGAACAGCCCGGACUGCCUGCCUUGAGGAGCCUUCCCAUCCUGCCCAUCUGGCCUCUAGCCAGCACCUUGGUGCCCUCCCCUCCCCUGCCCUCAUCCUAGGGUGAUGCCCAGUGGUGUUCAUAGCCAUUGUUGGGCUUGUUCAGCUCCUGUGGGUGCUGCGUCCUUCCAGCUGGGUGGGCUUCAGGAAGUGCCCCAUCUGGGCAUCAAAGGGUGGAGAUUGCAAGGCUGUGGGGGGACUUCUAGCCACAAAGAGCUGUGGGGACUUUUGAGUAGGAGGCUCUGUUGAAAAUGCACCGAAAGUGGCAAAGGGUAGUAGCUGGACCAAUGGGAAGGCCAUCAGGACAGCUGGGCAUUGUGGUCACCUGGGAGGGCUGCAGUGGCCUGGCAAAGGGUGGGCUGGGGGGCGUGGAGAGAAGUCAUAGGAUCCUGACUGUGUCUUGAAGGUAGAAGUGGCUGGGGGACUGGAUAUGGGGUGCAAGAGAGAAACAUCUUUAUCUCGUGCAGUUAGAGACCUAAGUUUCUUUCUUUCUUUUUUUAAAUAUUUUUUUUGUUAAAUUCUUUUAUUGGUACAUUGUAGGUAUACAACACAAUUACUUUUCUCUUUGGGAAUUGUACCUUUACAUGAUGCAUCUUGGUUCUGAUUUUUUCCCUAUUCCCAGCCCUCCCUUCACCCCCUCCACUUUUCCCUAUUUACAAAGACUUUAUUUCCAUUUUUUCCAUUUAGAGACCUAAGUUUCUACUUGAACUCAGCAAGGAGAGUGGAGGUGUUUAUCUUGCUUGUUGUCUAGGUAGGGUGGAAUUGUUCAGUUUGAGAUGCUGGUCGGACAGCCAAGGGGUGAUGACUAUUGAAGAAGAGGCUAGAUGCACAAACCUGAGCCCGGAAGUCUCUUUCCUCUGUCUCCUCACCUGGGCUGUGGCACUGACUUUGGUGAACACUCGUUUAGCUGUCACUGUGAGGGAGUUUGUUUUGUUUUGAAUGAAGUUAACACUUGAAUUAAAAGACUGAAGAAAGCACAUCACCCUCUGUGAUGUGGGUGGGCCUCAUCAAAUCAGCUACAGACUCUCAGGGCAAAAGCAGCAGCAGGAAAUAGACAUUUUGACUACAUGCUGCCUUUCAACUACAGCUGCAGAAUCAGUGCUUCCUUGGUCUCAGGCUGCCAGCCUGCCCUGCACAUUCAGGCCUUGCUAGCCUCACGGUCAUGUGAGCCAAUCACACACACACACACACACACACACACACACACACACACACACCCUGUUGAUUCUGUUUCUCUGGAAAAUCCUCACUGAUAUAUGGAGUAAAGGGUAUACUUAGAUCCCCAAAUUUGGGAUAGAAAGGGAUGUAUUUGGAUUAGCAUUUGAUGAGACAAGUUUCUUCAGCCUUGAGGCUGGGUGUAAUCACCAAACAAGCAGAGAGGAGCGAGUCAGUUGGGCUGUACAACAGAGGUUGAGAGGUUCGGAAACUUGUGGGCGGUGUGUCUUUGUGUGGCUGACUGGUCUCUUCCAGGGUGCCAGGCUCCUCCCCAUUCCGCAGUGCUUCCUGGAGGUCUGGGAAGUGAGCUCUGUGGGCCACCUCUUCAUUUGGGUGCCUCACCCUCCCCACAUCGUGGCCCUUCCAGCUUCCUGGGUAGCGGGGAGACAUCCAACAGAAAUUGAUUGUUCCGGCAUCUUCCUUCCAGUCCAUUUUCAGUUCCGCUGCCCCUCAGUCUCUUGAGGCCUCUUGGUACUGAGUAAUCCCAUUUAUUAAAACAUAUGCAGCUUCCUUACUGGCAAGUGUUGAUAAAAAUAGUUCUGCAGCCCCAAGGGGCAGGGUCAUUUGAACUGCAUGACUCGAAAACAUUUGGUGUGAAUAAUGAAAAGUGCAGGGCCAUGGUGAUGGAUUUCCCUCGCCCUCUUUGUUCCUUCCUCUUGUUGAGAGGCAGAAUGUUUAACCCGUAUUUUCCAAGAACUGCGUAGGUGGGUUGCCAGGGACAAUUGAUUUUUUAGAGAAGUAUUGUUCUUCUGGAUGUGGAAACCAUGAAGUAAAGCAUAACAUUGAGCAAGAGUCGUCCCGAUGGCCAGGCCCGGGCUAAUUAUGGGACAGUGUUGCAAUCCAUGCAUCCGGGCUGUCCUGUGGCAUAGGUGGAGGAUCCCUUGUCUGAAAUGCUUGAAGUCUCCUGCCAUACCACCCUGAACAUGCCCGAUCGCGUCUGAAAUGCUUGAAGUGUCGCGUUUUGGACUUGUUCAGAUUUGGGAAUAUUUGCAUGUAUAUAAUGAAAUGUCUUGAGUAUGGGAAAUUUAUUUAUGUUUCAUAGAUUCUUUCUGCACACGGCCUGAAAGUAGUUCUGUACAAGAGUUUCAAUGAUCUUGUGCAUGAAUCAGUUUCAUGGCUUUACGGUUUAUAACUAGAUGUCCCCCAAGAGCCUCCUCUGCUCACUGACGGAGCUUUGGGAGGUGCCUGGAUCAUGGGUACAGCUGACCGGGACGCCUGGCCAGAGGUGGGUCACUGGGAGCGUGGCCUGGUGGCCUGGAGAGGUAGGACCCCCUCCGCAGCCCUCCUCCUCUGCUUCCUGCCUGCCUCGAUGUGAACAGGUCUUCCACCAGGGCCCUCCCACCAUCGCUGGCCAUGGAAGGACAGGGGCUUCCAAACUGUGAGCCAAAAUAAACUCCUCCUUUAAGCUGUGAGUGUCAGCAUUUUGUCCCCGCCAGGAGUGGUGCGGAAUUUUCCAUUUGUAGUGUCAUGUCAGCACUCAAGUUUCAAAUGUUGGAGCAUUAUGGAGUUUCAGAUCAGGGAUGGGCAGCCUGCAUAAGGUCAUCAUUUCUCCCCAGGGACAGUGCUCCAGGCCCAGGAUAAUCAAGGCCUUGCUCUAGUCCACCGUCAAGUGGAUCAUCUGCUUUCUUAGGCCGGGAUGGUUCUGAAUGGGAAGGGGGCAUCCUGCAGGGCAGAAGAGACCCGGGCUCUGUGUGCGGAGCUCUGAGCUCCGGCCCUGCCUCUGCCUUGCAUGGUGACCUGGGAGAGGCCCUCAGCUCUUGGGCAGCAGUGUCUCUAUCUGUGAGGAGUUGGGUGAGAUGGCUCCUAGGGAAGGGAACCCUGAACAUGGUGGGUGCCUGUCACCAGCAAAGGAGCCACCUUCCCUGAGCCCCAGCUUGCUGCAGUACAGUAGGCAUGGGCUUUGGAAUGUGACAAAGUGCUCUGACAUUCAGUUGUGGUCAGUGAGUUGGAAGGCUCAGUGGGUGGCGCCUACAGACAUACAAAGCCCCUAGUCUCCACAGCAGCUCAGCAUCCCUGUGUCAUCAUAGGAUUUCACAGGCUGGGGCCACGAGGCCAGGUAGCACUUUUGACUUAUGAAGCUCUGAAAUCAGGACAGGUAUUCAAGAGGCCAGGGGAAGCAAAGCCAGACUGGAAGCUGGGUCAUCACAGUGCCGAUGGAUAAAGCAUCGCACGAGGUGUGGAAGCUUUGGUGAGGAGGUCACACUGUGGCCGCAGCCUUCGACAUCCUGCUCUGCUUCUGACUCCCCCUGUUGUACCCACAUGUUUCCCAGUCCCAUAUGUAAAACAGGAGCGGUGACACCGCCUUCCAUCCAGGGAUAUCAAGGAGAGGAGAAUGGGCUGUUCCACAUGAGACACUGUAGAAUGAUACCUGGCACAUAAGAAGUGCUCAGUAAACAAGCUACUGCAUGUGCACACACAGGCACACACAGCUCAUGUGUCAUCUUAUCAAGAGCCCUUUCCUGGCCUCUGGACAGCACCCACCUCACACCCGACUCCCUCGCCUUUCUCAGUCCCAGUCUCCAGAGCACGCAUCACCUCCUGACCUCUACACUGUGCUUGUGUGUGUUGGAUGCCUGCCACCCCUGCCCUUCUAUGAGCCCCAUCAAUGGGGAGAUUUCUGUUGGUUUUGUGUAACACCUUGUUCCGUGUAACACCUUGUUCCAUGGAACCUGCUAGGUGCUCAGUAAGUUUCUGCUGAGUAAACGAGUCUCUGUUCUACACAGGUCCUCUAGGCCCAGACUUAGGCCCAGAGAGGAGAAGUAACUAGUGGAGGUCACCCUGAGACUGGAGGGCAAAGCUGGGCCAGGGGCCGGUGCUCUGAUCUGAACCCUGCUAUCUCUGUGUGGAGACAAGCGAGCAAACAAAAGGAAACGCAGCGCAGUGCCUGCCACACAGUAAGGACUCUCAGAAGUGAAAUGCAGUGAUUCUGCUUGCAACAACUGACCUCGCUCCAACACCCCCUUUGGCUGGUCAGCCUCUCUGAGCCCGGGUCGUGUCUCUGACACAGCACCAGCACUUAACCUCCGUGGGACAGUGAGGACUUCUGACGUUCAGAAUAAAAUGCCAGGAGCGGGCCCAGAGCAGUCGCUGUGACUGUGGCCACAUACUGUUGUCUUUGCCAUUGUCUGUCAGCACGUUGUGUUACACUUACAUGCUACUCAUCUUUGACCCUCCUAGGGUGGGGACAGCGUGUGCAUCACCACAUCCCCACCUUCUCCCACAGUUCUUGGUAUGUGGGUGAGGGACAUGGAUGGUAAGGUCCACAAGUGGAUGGCUAAAGGACAAACAAGCAGGCUGUAGUUUGUCGGACCACUUGGCCGGUUGUCUGAGGACUGUUUCCUGGAGUCUUAUCCUCUCGCCUCAGAAUCAGGCCUAGGACAACGUUUGGUUGUCCCAUUGUUCCCAGAUAACGCGCCCUAUCUGAGCGUUUCCGAGGGGACAGCUGGGGCACACCCUACGUGGCUGCUCUAUCGCCUGCUGCAUGUGGACCCCCACGGGUGCCAGUCCGCUGCCGCAAGGACCUUUCAUGUGGCCGGGCUGCCCUUCAUUCCUCCCUGCCCCCUGUGAAAUGUACGUAAGGAAGCAUUUUUCCCUCAACCAUUCUGUUCUGGAAAACGCGUUAAAUAAAAACACUUGGUACUUGUCUGUCUCUUCAUAGUGUGACCCACAUCUUCUAGGUUGACCUCACAAACGCCUUGUCUGAUGAGUCAACUCUUAGCCCUCUUUUACCAUUGGAGAAACAGAGGCUCAAAAAUGCAAUGACUGCUAGGUUGCAUAGCAUUAGUAAGGCAGCCCAGGACUGAGCCAGCCUCUACCUCGACCCCGUGCUUUUCCCCAUGCAGACCUGCCCGGCUGAAUGCGUUGAUCUUCUCUGCCCUUAACUGUGUCCAGCAGGGAUUUAAGAGGUCUGUUACCAACGUAAUGACCCGGGUGCUCCGAAGUCUGCUCGCUCUGAGUGACAUCCAGACCACCCGGGAGAGGUGGGAGCGUGUGAAUCCUGGUGAGCUGUGGUGCCUUCAGGAGAUAGCUCAGCAGCACAGUGGUGGGCACUUUCUCCUCCGCCAUGCUUCCCUCUCCCGUCGGAUUUGACCCUCUUAUCAGCUGCUCUUGAAGUGAGUUGGAUGUUGGAAAUACCUGGGGAAUCUAAAAGUCCUGCUGCCGGUGCCCUGCUCCUAACUGUUUUGGUUUCAUUUGGAACCCUGGGGCCUGGGCAUUGGAAUUGACAUCUCCCCAGGGACAUGCCCGUUUUAGUGUCCUUACUCUGGGAAAUGGGGGACUAACACGAAGCUGGCAGCCCCAACCCUACUUCAGGUAGAAGUUCUACCGUUCCUAAAGCAGACUCAGCUGAAACUCGCUCCGCUUUGCUCAGAUUCUGCACAGCUCAUGUGUGGGGAGAAGGGAAGCUGAGGGCCAAGGUGACGGGAACAGUCUCCCAGCUUCGUGAGCUGUGCCCUCCUAAGCGUCAGGUGCUUUUCCAUGCACUUUGUAGACCCCACCCAGCUCCCUUUCACGCUACCCCCAUUGCACAGACAAGAAGACUAUGCAGCAUCAGUAAGUAUGUUGUCAAGGUGACGGUGCAGAGGUGAGGUCUGAAGAGCAGUUUCCUGGCUCUGGAGGCCACUCCUGAGCUACACCUGCAGCCUUGCAGCUGACCUGGGAACCGCGCUGUCCCACUGCACAUGCGCCUGAGGAUUCCCCUCACCGGUCUGUCCUGGUGCUGCUGAAGCAGAGAUGCCCUUUGUAUCUUCUGGCCAUCUGGAAGUUUUCUGGUUGUGGUCAGUGGGUUCCUCCAAGGUUCCUUGAGCUCCAAAUUGCAUAGUUGGCCCUUGCUGUGCUUUCCUGGCCUGGGCUGGACAUGUGGAUGAGUCCUGAUCUCCAGGGAGAUUUGCGUCUCUCCUGCCUUCACUGUCUCAGGGCCCCAGAAGAAGGCUGAGUAGCUCUGUGACAAGAGCUUGGCAUCUUGCUUAGUGCUCAGCUUGACUCUGGACCAGGCCACCGUGGGCAGAGGAGGCAGGGAGGGAGGAAGGGUUUCUUAUUUCAGAAGUGAACUCUUGAGUUGUCCUAGUGCUCUUGUGGACAUGUUAGCCGUUGCUCAGCAAGCACCAAGGCCUCAAGUGGGUGGGCUGAUGGCAGUGGAGACUUUGCUACUGUUUCAGCGAGGGACACGAAGGUCUGCUAAAACGUGCUGGGUGAAGUCUUCGAACUUCCCCUACAGAAGCACAGGCGCAGGUACAGAGUGAUUCAAAAUGGAAAGAAAAGGACUCAUUUUACAUGUUCACUAGUUGGAAAUUAGUUAAUCAGGAUAGCUCUAUAAAAUGGAAUGCUGAACAGCCAUUAGAAUUGAUAAUAGAAAGUGUGAGCUGAUGUAUACAUUCACUGGUUCAACUGAGCCUACCAGAAGAUGUACUUACUUCAAAACAUCAUGCUGUGAGCUGUUAGUAAAACGUACAAUUUUUGUUAAUUAAAAAUUAGUGGCUUUAUGAACUCACAGGGAACAGUCUUGAAGAUACAUUAAUAUCAAAGAGCAACAUUAACGUUAGCAAUGUUGACUGAAUAAAGCAAAAGCAAGGCGUUGACAGCACUGUGAGGUUUGCUGACAACUCUGUGCUUAUGUGCAGUCCCUAGUCCCAUAUUGGCCCCUGAAAUUCUGCACACACAAGAGCACUCACAUAAGAGCUUUGCUGUCUGUCGCUUUCCUGCCCCAGCCGUCAGUCCUAGUGCUGACCUGGGACCUUCCUGAAAGCAGGAAGGGCUGGCCUGGCGUGCAGGGGCAUGGCAGGGCCACACCCAGAGCACCUGUCAGAUUGGUUUUCUGUGGGUGUUGGUGGAUGAAUGCAAAGAGCAGAGUUCUCUUUCACCAUUUCCUCCUACCUACUGCUCCUUGAACACACGCAGCUGGAUCUAAGUCCCUUCUCCCUCUCCCAAGUCCUGUCCCUGCCUCCACUUUGUUCCUUGAGAUUUUCUCCUCCACAAGGCUUCCUCACUGUCUCCAGGUUACAGUGAAGCAAGGAGGAGAAGAAACUAAGCAGACAUUGUCAGUUAGGUAGGGCGGGUCUGACUUAAUUGAUUAAUUUAGUCAUAGGAGCCAAGCCAACCCAGAAGCUGGGAUCAGUCUCCCCCUGAUGGUGUGCUGGUGAGUCAGACUUGCUGGGGUUUGAGUCCACAUGGCUGUCUGUGACUGUGGCUGGGUUAUUUAACCUUGCGGGAUCUCCAUUUCCUGAUCUGUAAAGAAGGCUAAAAGUGCUUCUCUUGAGGUUGUAGUGCGGAUUAAAUGUGAUAACACGAGUGAAAGUGCCUUUGAUGCAGAAGGAAGGGCAAAGUGCUUAUUGUGUUGGGAGCAGAGUGAGAGGGCCCCAUUGUUCUCAGGGGCCUCCUCCUUCCUAGGUAGAAGUCUCAUUCCCAGGGCAGAAAAGGUUCUCAUUUGGCUCUCAUUCUUUCAUGCAGUGCCCUUCUCUCAGCCGCUUUCUCUCUUAGGUUUCAGCCUAAGCAAAUAAAUUAUCCUGCUCUACCGGGCUCUGUGUUCUGUAGCCAGCCAUAUGUUGGAGCUUGAUAGAGAUUGUUAUCGGGCCGGAUAAUGUUACCCAGCAAGGGGUGACAUUUCUUAUCAGAAGCCCUGCCGAAUCAGAGAUAGGAGGGCUUUCUUUUCGCUGGCCACCAGGUCUGUGUGCAGGGUUGGCAGGGAAGUGUGAGAGGAUCCUCCUGGGAGUGGACAGCCGGGGCCGUCUCGGCUUGGGUUGUCCUUCGUCUCCUGAGACAGACACUCUGGAUAGCCUGCCUAGUUGGAAGUAGCCCUUCGGAGAUCUUUUGUGCUUUGGAAGCACUUGCUAGAGACCAGCCGACAAGCAACAGGAGAGACAAAUCCAUACCAGGACAGUGGGACAGGGCCAGACCAGGACGCCCAGCCCAUAUCUCCACAUGCCCAGCUGGCUCCGUCCUUGCAUCCAACAGAUCCCUCUGAUCUUCUUACAGUGGAUUACAAGCAAAACAAAACUUCCUGGCCAGACUGAUACCAGAUUGAAGGAAACAGCUGGCUUUCAUGGGGACAAGAAAACAGAAUCCAGCCAGAGUGAAGACCCGCGCCAGUCUGUUCUGCACCGGGCAGCUGCUGGGGAAGUGCUGGCAACCUGCAGAGAAGUCCCAGCUUGCCUUGUGCGUUCCACAGUUCCUGGAGACAGUUCUACAUUUUGGCCUGAGCGUUGGCACCCAGCUGGAUCUUGAAGCAGAGCUUUCUCUUCCUCGUGAGCGGCCCCCAGGCUCUGCCUUUGGGGAGCAACAGCUCACCACCGCAAGUUCAUGAAUCUAAGAGGCAGACCUGGAAUCUGAAUCUUUUACCAGUUGCUUCAGGGAUGGGAACUUCGAUGGAAGCCCACUCACGUGGCUUCUGCUCGUGGUUGGCCUGUGGACGACUGUUUCCCAGCAGCACUGCUAUCCUUGGCUGGCAAGCUGCUGCUCUUCUCCCUCCCAGAGAGCUCUAGCUAAUACAGUCUACUCCGGUGAGCUGUGACCCCACGUUCUGUUUAGAUGUUCAGUCUUACUUUUCUUGCAAUGUCCUUGGGAAAGGCCGGGCCUCUUCCCCUCACCUGUUCCAGGCCAUCUGAGGCCAGCCAGACCACUCAGGCCCCUCCCUCAGCCAUCAGCUCCAGCUUCCGAGUGCUUUCUUAGCUCCCAGUACCUUCCCACCAGGACAGGCACCGGUGCCAUUUCUUGAGUGUCUGUCCUGUACACAUUCAGGGGAACAUAUGGUCAUCUUGAACCAGGAGAUGAUAAAUAACUUAAGAGGGGCACCCAGCCACAUUCUGACAACAGCUUCUACCACCUGGACAGCCUUUCAUUCCUACUGCACCAGAGACCAGAGACCGGAUAUGUACAUCGCAUUUUCAGAGCCGCAGGUCCUAAAGACCUCCCUGUCAACACAUGUGAACAAAGUCUUGCAGGAAAAUGUCAUCCCAUUUGAAAUGUGCAGCUUGUCCUUGCAUUACAGACAAGUGCCAGAGAGGCAGGGCCGCCCGGCACGGCCACAUGGGAAGGCCCAUAAAAAGCACGCACCCCGCGGCACAGCACGCAGAACCCAGUGCUGCUCACGGCCUUUCUCCGCUCCAUCUCUCAGUUCAUACACGUGUUUUCCUCCCUGCACUUUGGCACCCAUCAGGAUUCAAAUUCCAGUUUGUCAGCCCUUGUAGAAAGGGGUUCAGAUCCUGGCAUUAAGGCUCCGCCGUGGGUGUGCAGGGACCUGUCAUUGCAGAAUGGUCUCAGAGCCUUCAUUUAUCCUCGCAGCCAUCCUCUAGGGGCUGCCCAGAGGUGGCGAAGGAAAAUCAUUGCCUCGCUUUGAGUCCAGGCAGCAGGAGUCCUUCUGUUCAGUUGCUCAUUAGCUGAGUGCCUGUGAACAUAAUUUGAGGUGCAUUCCAGCCCUGGGAAGAGGCCACCCCUUUCUACUGAGCUGGUUGUCCCAUCUGCAGAUAUCCUGGGAAUCUACCCCAGCGCGAUCCUGUGUGCUCACAUUUACCUGAGCAGCCUCCUCAGGAAAUGAGCUCUCUCCUUCUCAGCUACUUUACCUCUCCAGUGGAUAACCAGGCUCCGGGUUGUGGUGGGUCCUUCUGAAGCAUGUAUGGAGUACGUUAGCAGCCUGGUCACGGGCAGCCAUGGCUGGGUCUUCAAGAAGUUGUGUUGGAAAUGUCGACUCUUCUUUCGAAUCGCAGUCGUGUCCUCCGUCCCAGAUGGAGUGUGAAUGGUGCUUUCUGGGCUAAAAGAUGGGCUCAGCUGAGGGGAUCAAACUUGGGACCUUGCACUUGCGAGGCAGGUGGCAGCACCACUGAGCCAAAUCCCUGGUCCACAUCUUCAUCAUUUUUACCUCUCACUCUCCUCUCGGACCUCCUUUCUCAUCCCAUGAAGAUAUAGACAUGGGCAAAGGCUUUCUGAACAGAACCUCAAUCGCAGAAGAAAUAACAAGAACAACAAAUGGGAUUAUAUCAAAUUUAAACAUUAUACAGCGAAAGAAACAGCCAACAGAGUAAAAAAACAACCUACAGAAUGGAAGACAAUUUUUUUUGCCAGCUACACCUUGGGCAGAAAAUUAAUGUCUAGAAUAUAUAAAAAACUGAAAAAAAAUUAGAGCACCCCCAAAAUAAAAAGCCCAAUCGAAAAAUAAGUAGUUGAAAUAAAUAGACACUUCUGAGAAGAAGUACAACUAGCCAAUAAGUACUUGAAAAAUGUCAGCAUCUUUGGCCACUACAGAAAUGUAAAUCAAAACAACACUAUGAUUCCAUCUUACUCAAGAAAGAAAGAGUCUCUUUCUACCAGAAAUUCUCCUUCAAGAAGAUCUGAGCACUUUUGGGCAGAUUUCAUGAGAGGAAGAUGGAGCAUUCUUGAACUUAGGGUCCCUAGGAAUCACAGUCAUGGUCACCCAAACAGGGCAACUGUGGUGUCUCAGUCCCAGCAGCCUACCACAGAUUAAAAUAACAGUCUGUGGAGUUUAUUUUGAGAAGCCCUAGGAGCUUGGCAUAAGCCUCCAUUGCUCGUGGCAGCAUAAACUGGUCUUUUGGAGUAACUUAUCAGGCGGUAUCAGAGCCUCCCUUGGACCUUGUAUCACUAUUUGAGAGCUUUUUAGAAGACCUACCCCAGAAAAAAGGAAAGUUGUGCACCAGAAACAUAUUCUUAGAGCUGGGCACAUUUAGGGAAGGAAGCGACCUCAGGGACACUUGGUACCUCUGCUCUCUCAUGUCCCAGGAAGCCAAAGCACCCUGGAGAAGAAGAGGAGGCGCAGGAGAGUGUGGCCGUCUGAUGUGCUGUCCCAAAGGGCCCGUCUCCGCCCCAUGAGUCCGUCCUGUGCACCAGGCCAGCCCUCCGGCAGAAUGUGAGGGUCGCACCUACUUGAGGUAGUUCUGCUCUUUCGUCUCCUCACCCUUCUGUUUUUUGUGACCCGCCUCCUGCAGUUAAAAAUUGCUCCUUGUCACAGAAGGAAAAGAAAAGAACUGUGAACCACUAUGUGGAUGUGGAGGAUGCCACAUGCCCCAGAGAAGGGACACGAGGGGCAGUGGGGAGCUGGGGUCCUGGCGUCGGGACACUGCACCCCAUCAGGGCUCCGUGGUGCAGCGUGAGAGCCCUUAGCAAGGGUGUGAGAAGGAGCCACAGGCGAGUGCUGUCAGGGGUGCUCUGCCCCAGAGGGCAGAUCUGCCACCUCCGGCUGCUUCCUAAUCUCCAUUCAUGGGGACACCCAGCGUGAGCCGCGCCUGUCAACUCCAUGGAGUCAUGGAAGGUCUAGAGUCCGGGCUUUCAGAAUCUCCUGGAAGAGACGGCUCCUCUUUCACCUGAGUUAAAUGGACCAGGGGGAGAAAACCACCACUCAGAGAUGCUGACUGACUCAGCAGAAGCCACACAGCGGGGAAGCAGCCAAGGUGGACUUCCACAUGUUAAGGCAGUCCCAGCCUGUGGCUCUGGGAGCCCUUGGGUAAGCGUGCUCCUCCUCCAGCGGAACAAACGCGCCCUGUGCUGCCAGCAGCUGGGUCACGUGGCCAGCAUCGUCUUUCUCUUCUCUUCCCCCCAUGCCUGAGAGUCUGAUCCUGGCUUUUCCUCUCCUGGAGAUUGUAGCACCUACACAAGAGGCAAAGGCAGCCGUCAUACAGACCCAGAGCGAAUUGGAUGCUCUUCCCCCAGCACUGUGCAGACGCAGGAACUGGAGCGGAGAGCUCAGAAAAUCGCCACCGAUUUUUUCUGUGUACCCCUCCCUCCUUCCCAGCCCGUCUCCGUCCACAUCACACUUCUCCCUGGGGCUUCAGUCAUUGCUGAGCUAUCUUCAUUUAAUGUGGUUUUGACAAAACAGUUGGUCUGGAAAUUUUAUUUUCAAUUAAACUUACUUGUUGGACUGCCUAGGCUUUGAAAGCAUUCUAUUAGGAUGGCUAAUUAUAUGGCAGUUGCUGCAAGGAGAUAGAUACUUGCACUCAGUUUCAGCCCUUAGGUAAUUCAGAUCAAAUGCUUCGUACUUUUCCUCCCGGAGCUGUGUACAGCAUCUUCCUCUCACACUGCAGGCUUCCCAGGAGUUAUUUUUAGAAACCCAAAUCAAAACAGCAGUUUUGGUGGAGGCCGUUUGUAGCCUAGCAGAGUAAACCAUAUGUACUGAUAAAAACAGGCAAGCAGCUGAUGCCCUUCAAGAGCAACAAAACCACCUCCCUGUUGCGGGGUCAGAUGCCUGGGAACCCUGGGAACCGCAAGCUGUUCUUUGUGCUGUCACGUUCCUUGGAAGACUGAAGUCAGAGGCAGUGGGGCCGCCUUUAAAAUGACAAAGGACUCCCCGCCCCUCAGCGGAGCCCUGGGAGGACUUCCUGGGGCACUGUUCUGGCCUCGGGUCUCCAGUGGAGCAUGGAGGGCACUUUCUUGAUUUCCCUCCUCUGCUCUACUUUCUUGUUUGAGCGACACACACUAACAUGCCUCAUCCUGCUCACCCAGCGAGCCACCGCUGCCCAUGGUCAGACUGUAAGGUGGACAGGGGCUGUGCUUUUCACCCUGCAGUGGGCCAGCACAUCGUAGGCACUCAAACCUGUAGGGGAGUCAUUAAAAUUCUGUUUGCUUUCUCAUUUUUAUAAAUGUCAAUCUUUCGUUACACAAAUACUAAGAGAACGCAUCUGUCUUGGGGCAGAAAAAGAGCUUUCCCAAUAGGGCCAAACAUCCUGCAGUUCUCCGUCUCCAGUGCUGGGCUCUUCAUUGUCUCUGUGUAACAUUUGUCAUCGCUUUGGAACACGUCUUUGCAGAUCUUUCUAAUUCAUUUGUGCACGUGUACGCAGACACAGGCACAGUCUAUAGACCUGUGAUAAAGAGUAUUACCCAGCCUAUGUAGUCUCUCCCAGGGGUGCAGUCCGCAUCACCCACCUCUUUCCUUUGAACUGCUACCCAGCUGUAGUGCAUCGAGUGGUUACACCACCUUUGACUUGAACCAAGUGAGUUCUUUAUCUGCUUUCCGCAUUGGACCUCUGGAUCCAUUCUCACAUGUCGGCUGACCGGCUAGCCAUGUCCACUGCCAUCUAGGUAGCUACAUCACAUCCUGUCAAAAUCAGCCACUUGCCUGGGAGGUUCUGCCAACCCAGUAGACAGAGUACAUGAAAUUCUAAGGGUUGCCAGUGAGACCGAAAUUCCUUUGUUUUCAACCUAGGGAACAGCGCGGUGCCCCAGUGAGUUCCCCAGCAGUAGAGAGUGGUGUUGGAUCCAUGCUUGGGGCUCUUUUCACAGCCAGAGGGUUUCCUGGAUGGGUCCUGCCCUCGCCUGGACCUCACCUUCCGCAUUUGCCCAGUGGACGUGGGGAACCUCUUCCUGCUGUUUGGCUGUGAAUAACAGGCCUUUCUUGGUGCUGCCAGGACUGCCCCUGAGUGCUGCUGGACUCCCCCCUGCCAGGUGUUGGCUGGGGAAGGGGCUCCCAGCACAGCCCAACCUGGAGCUCUUGGCAGAGACCAUGUCCGGAAGACCCGGGACGCCACCUCUGGACUGUACUCUUCUUUCCUAUUGCUCUGUCAUUCAAUUAAAAUUAAUAUUACGAUUUUGGGCUUUGUUUGGUCUUUUUUUUCUAAGCAAGGCAGUAAGGGGUAAGGAAAGAGAUGGAGCCCUGCGUUUUGCUCCCAGGUUUGCCUAAUUCCAGGUGUGGAGUUUAGAUAAGUCCUUAACUUUCUCUGGGCUUUCAUCUGUUACCAUGAUGAUUAAAUUAGCCAGGUAUGCCCUUAA
ensembl:lncRNA